rnacentral:rRNA from 1 species
CAGCCGUAAACUAUGCUCGCUAGGUGUCAGGCAUGGCGCGACCGUGUCUGGUGCCGCAGGGAAGCCGUGAAGCGAGCCACCUGGGAAGUACGGCCGCAAGGCUGAAACUUAAGGAUUGGCGGGGGAGCACAACAACGGGUGGAGCCUGCGGUUUAAUUGGACUCAACGCCGGGAAGCUCACCGGAUAAGACAGCGGAAUGAUUGCCGGGCUGAAGACUCUGCAUGACUAGCUGAGAGGUGGUGCAUGGCGUAGACGUCU